UACUAGAGUAGCACUCGCAUAUCAAUAAGCGGAGGAAAAGAAACUAACAAGGAUUCCCCUAGUAACGGCGAGUGAAGCGGGAAGAGCUCAAAUUUGAAAUCUUAAAGGGUUUCCCUUUACGAAUUGUAGUUUAAAGAAGUGUUUUCUGUUGAGGUUUUGGUAAAAGUUCUUUGGAAUAGGACAUCAUAGAGGGUGAGAAUCCCGUAUUUGACCUUUACUUUCAACUUUGUGAUACACUUUCAAAGAGUCGGAUUGUUUGGGAAUGCAGUCCAAAAUGGGUGGUAAAUUUCAUCUAAAGCUAAAUAUUGGCGAGAGACCGAUAGCGAACAAGUACCGUGAGGGAAAGAUGAAAAGAACUUUGAAAAGAGAGUUAAACAGUACGUAAAAUUGUCAAAAGGGAAGCGUUUGACACCAGUGUUGUUUUUCUGAAAAUCAAUUAAAGAACUGUUUAUGCUAAGCUGUUUAGACUUUAUCAGCUAUCUGUUUAGUUUUGAGCUUUUCUUUAAUGCACUUUUCAGUUAACAAGUCGACAUCAAUUUCUUUUGCUGUAAAAAAGCUUGAGGAAGGUGGCUUGAGAUUCGUCUUAAGUGUUUAUAGCCUCUUGCCUAUGCAGUCGGAGAGAUUGAGGUCUGCAGCGUAGAUCCUUCGGGGCUAAAUGCAUUUGUGCUAAGUUAUAGCAUUUUAUAGACAACUUGUUGACUAUGAUUUGUCUUGUAGCUUACUCGCUUAUGUUAUUUUACCUACGCUUAGGAUGUUGAGCGCAUGUCUCUCUCU
rnacentral:rRNA from 1 species